AAUCUUGCGCAAUGGGCGAAAGCCUGACGGAGCAACGCCGCGUGAGUGAUGAAGGUUUUCGGAUCGUAAAGCUCUGUUGCCAGGGAAGAACGGCUCAUAGUUAACUGCUGUGAGAUUGACGGUACCUGAGAAGAAAGCCCCGGCUAACUACGUGCCAGCAGCCGCGGUAAUACGUAGGGGGCAAGCGUUGUCCGGAAUUAUUGGGCGUAAAGCGCGCGCAGGCGGCUUUUUAAGUCAGGUGUUUAAUGCUGGGGCUCAACCCUGGUACGCACCUGAAACUGGGAAGCUUGAGUGCAGUAGAGGAGAGCGGAAUUCCACGUGUAGCGGUGAAAUGCGUAGAGAUGUGGAGGAACACCAGUGGCGAAGGCGGCUCUCUGGCCUGUAACUGACGCUGAGGCGCGAAAGCGUGGGGAGCAAACAG
rnacentral:rRNA from 1 species